AAACUUUCAACAACGGAUCUCUUGGCUCUGGCAUCGAUGAAGAACGCAGCGAAAUGCGAUAAGUAAUGUGAAUUGCAGAAUUCAGUGAAUCAUCGAAUCUUUGAACGCACAUUGCGCCCGCCAGUAUUCUGGCGGGCAUGCCUGUUCGAGCGUCAUUACAACCCUCA
rnacentral:rRNA from 1 species